rnacentral:lncRNA from 1 species
UGGAAUCAGAGAGGAUCUCUUCGAGAGUGAAGGCCGUGGGCCAUAAAAGUUCCCAUGUCUGUCCAGCCGUUCGUUGAAAGGAGUAUCCUUCGCUUGGUAUGGGGGUUUCGAAGAUUUUGAUGAGGCUUUGUGAUAGUUUGGGGCCACGUUUAUCUGAGUUUUAGCUCUGUUUUGUGCUCGUGCAGGGUAAUCGGCAACAAGAUGGGAGAGCAUAUGGCAGAAGGAGCAAUGAUUCUCGAGCCGUUCUACCACUUCUACUCCUCCCCUGAACUUGACAAUAGUGUCUUUUGUGAGGG